rnacentral:piRNA from 1 species
UAGGUGAUUUCAGCUCAUUCCUCUCCAGUA